rnacentral:rRNA from 1 species
GAUGAACGCUGGCGGCGUGCCUAAUACAUGCAAGUCGAGCGAACAGACGAGGAGCUUUCUCCUCUGACGUUAGCGGCGGACGGGUGAGUAACACGUGGAUAACCUACCUAUAAGACUGGGAUAACGUCGGGAAACCUGAGCUAAUACCGGAUAAGAUAUUGAACCGCAUGGUUCAAUAGUGAAAGACGGUUUUGCUGUCACUUAUAGAUGGAUCCGCGCCGCAUUAGCUAGUUGGUAAGGUAACGGCUUACCAAGGCAACGAUGCGUAGCCGACCUGAGAGGGUGAUCGGCCACACUGGAACUGAGACACGGUCCAGACUCCUACGGGAGGCAGCAGUAGGGAAUCUUCCGCAAAGGGCGAAAGCCUGACGGAGCAACGCCGCGUGAGUGAUGAAGGUCUUCGGAUCGUAAAACUCUGUUAUUAGGGAAGAACAAAUGUGUAAGUAACUAUGCACGUCUUGACGGUACCUAAUCAGAAAGCCACGGCUAACUACGUG